CUCCCUGGAUGGUCAUUUCACGU
rnacentral:piRNA from 1 species